UCGCAGCGGCCACAGGAGGGCGGCAGCAGGACGGCGGCGCAGCCCGGGGGACCCGGAGGCCGGGGCAGCUCUUUGCCAGGACACCAGGAUGAGACACAGCGCCCGCUGCGUCUAGGGGCAAGCUGGCCGGGGCGAGGUGGCCGGGACACGAACAGCUCAGCCAGCCAGAGUUUGUAUGAGCCGGCUGGGCCCCUACUGAGAGGCUGGGCGCCUUAAAAGUCCCUUCGGUAUGAACUGGCCUGAGAGAGACCAAAUUUAUUCACUGCGGGCAGGCGACCCCGGCCUGGGGGAGCACCGAGGGGGGUGAGGCGCUGCCUGGAUCUCGCUCCUGAGUCAUUCUACAAGUUUCUUUGCCUAAGCUGGGCAAAUGUUAUGAAUCCUAUUAUUGUGAGCCUCCCCUCUAUAGGAGGUGGAGAAGGAGGCUUAGAGAGGUGAUGCUGUGUCCUACGACCUCUUGCCUCCUUCCUGCAAAUCCAGGGCUGUCCCCUCUGGGCCUUGUUGCUAACCUACAUUUCUUGUGCAUUUUUCUGCACUUAGGGUGGCUUCAGCUCAGACUGCCAGUUUGGAUGACCUGACUGGGCCUCUAUCUUAGAGGCUGCGUCCCUUAAAUAUCCCUAAAGUAUGAAACUGCUGGAGAAGGGCACACCUAGUUUGUCUAGGAGCCUGCCACUCUUCCACUUAGCAGCCCUCAGAACAGUCUCUGCCUCCUCCCCGCCAGCUCCAGGGCAACAAAAUGGAGUAGUAAGGCCAGCCUUGGUCAAGGAGAGAUUACAGUCUGUGGGACCAAUAGAUGGCAAAUGGCCCAUCACAGCAUCCUGGGUGAGGUGCUCUGACAUGUCAACAUUAAACAUUUAAACACAUUAAAAAACUCUUCCUGGGAAACCCAGAGAACCACCAUCAGAUUUGGACUUGGGGAUUUUUCUCUUUGUGAUUUCGAGACUUGAAGGUCAGCUAUGAACUAGAAGAGAGAAGGAAAAGAUGUGCCCUAAACUGUUUAAGAACAAGCCAUUUCUACAAGGACUCCUGGUGGAAAAUGAAGGAACCAAGCUCUGGGUGCCAGAGAGAGAGCGAGAUAGAGCGAGAGCACGCACAAAUAGGGGAAAAGGCAGAGGGAGAGAGAGAAGCAGUAUCCCUGCUGAACAGGGAGCCCGACAUGGGGCUCGAUCCCAGGACCCUGGGAUAAUGACCCGUGCCGAAGGCAGACACUUAACCGACUGAGCCACCCAGUUGCCCCCCGCGUGUGUCAACAUUUCACUGCUAUGUGGAACUCUGUAGUAUGACUAUAACCUAAAUUGUGUAUCUUUUCAGCUGUUGAUCGACAUUAGAAUUGUUUCCAAGUUUUUGCUAUGAUGCCUAAAGCAGUUUUGAAAGUUCAUGUACAAUCUUUGUGUGGACAGAUUUUCAAUUCUCUCACAUAAAAAUCUAGGAAUGGAAUUGCUGGCUGCGUGAAAGUGUAUGUUUGACUUUAUGAGGAACAGCCAAACUGUUUUCCAAAGUGGUUGUACCAUUUUACAUUAUUGGAUUGUUUUAUUAUUGGUGAGUUAUGAAGUUGAAUGGGUGGACAUUAUAUAGAAAAAAAAAAGAAUCUUAAUUCUUAUCUCACACCACACAUAUACAUUAUCUUGAAAUGGAUCAUAGACCCAAUUUAAAAGCUAAAACUAUAAAACUGUAGCUGCAUCUCACAAAGGUUGAUGUAUUGUAUUUUAAUUUUAAUUUAGUGAAAAUAAGUUUUAAUUUCCCUCACGAGUUUUCCAUUGAGUUAGUCAUUGAGAAGUGUGUUAUUUAAUUUACGAAGAUUUGGGAGUUUUACAGUGAAUAUAUUUUACAUGAUUUCAGUAAUUUGAAAUAUUAUGAGGCUUGUUUUAUGACCCAGCAUAGGAUCUAUCAUAUGCUUUUGAAAAAAAAAAAAAACAUGUACUCUACAGUUUCGGGCAGCGUCUUAUAUUACUUAAGUCAAGUUAGUGGGUCAUAUUGUUUGUCUUCUAUAUCCCUACUGAUUUACAUUAUAGUUGUUUUAUUGAUUCCUGACACAGAAGUAUUCAUGUGGGGUUUUUUUUAAGGUUUUUUUUUUUUUUUUUUUUUUUUUGAGUAAUCUCUGCUACACCCAACAUGGGGCUUGAACUCAGGACCUUGAGAUGGAGAGUCACAGGCUCCUCUGACUGACUGAGCCAGCCAGGCGCCCCCAAGAGAGAAGCAUUCAAAUCUCCAACUGUAAUUGUGGAUUUGUCUUUUCCUCCU